AACAUGGUAGGGUGUUGUGGUAGAGAACAGUCUAUGGAGGGUAACAUGGUAGGGUGUUGUGGUAGAGAACAGUCUAUGGAGGGUAACAUGGUAGGGUGUUGUGGUAGAGAACAGUCAGUCUAUGGAGGGUAACAUGGUAGGGUGUUGUGGUAGAGAACAGUCUAUGGAGGGUAACAUGGUAGGGUGUUGUGGUAGAGAACAGUCUAUGGAGGGUAACAUGGUUGGGUGUUGUGGUAGAGGUCAGUCUAUGGAGGGUAACAUGGUAGGGUGUUGUGGUAGAGAACAGUCAGUCUAUGGAGGGUAACAUGGUAGGGUGUUGUGGUAGAGGUCAGUCUACAGAGGGUAACAUGAUAGGGUGUUGUGGUAGAGGUCAGUCUAUGGAGGGUAACAUGGUAGGGUGUUGUGGUAGAGGUCAGUCUACGGAGGGUAACAUGGUAGGGUGUUGUGGUAGAGGUCAGUCUAUGGAGGGUAACAUGGUAGGGUGUUGUGGUAGAGGUCAGUCUACGGAGGGUAACAUGGUAGGGUGUUGUGGUAGAGGUCAGUCUAUGGAGGGUAACAUGGUAGGGUGUUGUGGUAGAGGUCAGUCUACGGAGGGUAACAUGGUAGGGUGUUGUGGAAGAGAACAGUCAGUCUAUGGAGGGUAACAUGGUAGGGUGUUGUGGUAGAGGUCAGUCUACGGAGGGUAACAUGGUAGGGUGUUGUGGUAGAGAACAGUCAGUCUAUGGAGGGUAACAUGGUAGGGUGUUGUGGUAGAGAACAGAGAACAACCUUUCAUAUUCCAGUGAUCCCUUUUGUAACAGAGACCACAGUGGAGAUGCCUCAUUGUCCUGUCAGUAGUGUCUCUUCAUAUGAGUCCUUUCAAUAAAUACUGCACAAGUGUACAGUGCAUUCGGACAGUAUUCAUAUCCCUUGAUUAUUCCACAUUUUGUUAUGUUACAGCCUUGUUAUAAAAUUGAUUAAAUUGUUCAGUGUGUCAGAGUCCAACUACUACAGGCCUCUGUUCUUAUUGUGAUUCAAGAGAAAGAAGAA